AUGCUCCCAUAUCCUCGAGAACCUGAUACUUCUGUUGAGGUGUUUGAAAAUUUAUCUCCUCAUGUCCAAGCUUGUAUACCAGACCUCUUGAAGGUUGCUCUGACUUGUCUGGACAAUGUGGCAGACUCUGAUGGAUCGCUUCGUGCCUUGAGGGCUAAGACUUCCAGUUUUAUUGCAAAUAAUGUAAAGAGGAAUUGGCCUCGUGAUUUGUAUGAAAGAGUUGCUUGA